rnacentral:misc_RNA from 1 species
GAAAGUCAGCUGAGCAA